rnacentral:rRNA from 1 species
GACGAACGCUGGCGGCGUGCCUAAUACAUGCAAGUAGAACGUACAGUUUAUACCGUAGCUUGCUCCACCAUAGACUGUGAGUUGCGAACGGGUGAGUAACGCGUAGGUAACCUGCCUGGUAGCGUGGGAUAACUAUUGGAAACGAUAGCUAAUACCGCAUAAUAUUGAUUAUUGCAUGAUAAUUGAUUGAAAGAUGCUAUUGCAUCACUACCAGAUGGACCUGCGUUGUAUUAGCUAGUAGGUGAGGUAACGGCUCACCUAGGCGACGAUACAUAGCCGAACUGAGAGGGUGAUCGGCCAGACUGGGACUGAGACACGCCACAGACUCCUACGGGAGGCAGCAGUAGGGAAACUUCGGCCAUGGACGGAAGUCUGAGCGAGAAACGCCGCGUGAGUGAAGAAGGGUUUCGGAUCGUAAAGCUCUGUUGUAAGAGAAGAAAGGGUGUGAGAGUGGAAAGUUCACACUGUGACGGUAACUUACCAGAAAGGGACGGCUAACUACGUG